GAUGAACGCUAGCGACAGGCCUAACACAUGCAAGCCGAGGGGCAGCACAUGAGUAGCAAUACGAUGGUGGCGACCGGCGCACGGGUGAGUAACACGUAUGCAACCUGCCUGUAAGAGGGGGAUAACCCGGAGAAAUUCGGACUAAUACCGCAUAAUACCACGAGACUGCAUGGUUUUGUGGUUAAACAUUUAUGGCUUACAGAUGGGCAUGCGUAUGAUUAGAUAGUUGGUAGGGUAACGGCCUACCAAGUCUACGAUCAUUAGGGGUUCUGAGAGGAAGGUCCCCCACACUGGUACUGAGACACGGACCAGACUCCUACGGGAGGCAGCAGUGGGGAAUUUUGGACAAUGGGCGCAAGCCUGAUCCAGCCAUUCCGCGUGCAGGAUGAAGGCCUUCGGUUGUAAACUGCUUUGUACGGAACGAAACGGCGAGCUCUAAUACAGUUUGCUAAUGACGGUACCGUAAGAAUAAGCACCGGCUAACUACGUGCCAGC
rnacentral:rRNA from 1 species